UACGUAGGGUGCAAGCGUUGUCCGGAAUUAUUGGGCGUAAAGAGCUCGUAGGCGGCGCGGUAAGUCACUUGUGAAAUCUCUGAGCUUAACUCAGAACGGCCAAGUGAUACUGCAGUGCUAGAGUGUGGAAGGGGCAAUCGGAAUUCUUGGUGUAGCGGUGAAAUGCGUAGAUAUCAAGAGGAACACCUGAGGCGAAGGCGGGUUGCUAGGCUGACACUGACGCUGACAGCGCGAAAGCGUGGGGAGCGAACAGG
rnacentral:rRNA from 1 species